UUUAAUGUGGCAGAAAAGUGCUAUGAAUUUAAGCUUCAUUAAUGGAAAAAUAAUCUCCCAUUAAAA
rnacentral:tRNA from 1 species